AAACUUAUAUAAAAUGUAAGUUCAUAAAAUCAAUGAAAAAAUAGCUUCACACGCGUGGAAUACAUGUAAAGGAGACCUUGGGCAAUACGCUAAAUUUCAAAGGCCUCAACAAGCUCCAACGAUGGCCUCUUUUCCCACCGGCAUCACAACAGUCACCGGCUUCCACCACCGCCAUAUCACCAGGGGCCACUGGAGGAAACAUGGGUUUUUCUAGUUUAUAACCAGAAGAAACCCGUCAGGACCACUACUUUUUUACGGUGAGAUUGACCGCACAGUUCGCAAAAAUCAAAGAGAAAUAAGGCGAAGCUUAAGA